rnacentral:rRNA from 1 species
GAUGAACGCUGGCGGCGUGCUUAACACAUGCAAGUCGAACGAUGAAGCCCAGCUUGCUGGGUGGAUUAGUGGCGAACGGGUGAGUAACACGUGAGCAACCUGCCCCUGACUCUGGGAUAAGCGCUGGAAACGGCGUCUAAUACUGGAUAUGUCCCGUCACCGCAUGGUGUGCGGGUGGAAAGAUUUUUCGGUUGGGGAUGGGCUCGCGGCCUAUCAGCUUGUUGAUGAGGUAAUGGCUCACCAAGGCGUCGACGGGUAGCCGGCCUGAGAGGGUGACCGGCCACACUGGGACUGAGACACGGCCCAGACUCCUACGGGAGGCAGCAGUGGGGAAUAUUGCACAAUGGGCGAAAGCCUGAUGCAGCAACGCCGCGUGAGGGAUGACGGCCUUCGGGUUGUAAACCUCUUUUAGCAGGGAAGAAGCGAAAGUGACGGUACCUGCAGAAAAAGCACCGGCUAACUACGUGCCAGCAGCCGCCGCAGUAA